CCCUCUCCCGUCUCUCUUCAUCUCAAAUUUGCUUUAUCUCUCACCUCUUCCUCUUUCUUUCAAUCAGAAUCCAAAAUCUAUUCACCUCAAGUUUGCUUUAUCCUCUCACCUCUUCCUCUUUCAAUCUAAAUUCAAAUCUUACAAUAUCCCUAACCCGAUCUGUUUCUACAGUGUUGAUUAUCAUUUGAUGGGCUAAUUAAUUUGGUGGGGUUUUGGGUUCAUCAUUCAUCCACCGGCGACUUAGCAAUGGCGGGGGGUUCUCGAGCUCAACUUAACAAGCCACACAAGACUCGUUUCUCUUUCACAGAAAUUCUCUCAAAGAUCUUGGUUCCAGUUUAAAGAUUUCGGAUGAGCUUUUUCUGAUUAGGGUUCUUCAUUUUUGAGUUCAAUUUAUUGAAUCUUUCCGGUUAAGUUUCAAUUAACUUAUCUCUCUCUUUGAUUUCAGGGCUUACUCGAUUUGGACUUUGGAUUUGGAGCUUGUUCAGUGAAUUAGGGCUUCGAUUUGUUGCUAUACUGCAUCUCAUGACUGCCUCUGCCUCUGGUUUCAUGUUAAGUUUAAGAUACUGUAUCCUUAAAUCUGUUUAUAUGAAACUGUAGCCCUGUGUUUAUUUUUCUUUUUCAGAAGUUUCAAUUAUAUAUUCGGUUAAUUUUCUUGAAUGACCAAGUUUCAAUUUAUUGAUAUUGUCAAAACUACCUAAUUGUUUUGCAUUUGCAAUCUUGAAAUAUUAGGAGAACUUGUUUCAUUGUACAAGUUCAGCCUUAAUUUAGCCUCUAGACAAACAAGGAUAUCACUGCACAUCUCCCUUGUUCUUGACUUCAUGUUACUUGAUUAUUAAUUUAUUUUUUAUAUGUAUUAUUAUUGUAUAUAUGACUGUUGGUUUGUGGAAGGUUACUGCUAGCAUUUGUAGUGUGUGAAUGUGAUCUAUACAUCUGUAGUAUGUGAAUGUGAUCUCUAUAGUUUACUUCUAAUAUUUUCCUUGCUUGAAACUCUAGGCUGGCCUCUUUGUCUAUGAUAUCUUUUGGGUUUUUUUUCACCCCAGUGAUGGUUAGUGUUGCCAAAUCUUUUGAUGCUCCUAUAAAGCUUCUGUUCCCAACAUCAGAUGCUGCACAUUCGAUGUUUGGGCUUGGAGACAUUGUGAUACCAGGUACCAUGUCUAAAAUAUAAACACUAUCCCCUAAAUGUUUACCGGUAUUGUAACCAUGUUUUUAUUAGAUAUUUUGAGACUCUGUGAUUUACGUUAGUGUUUGUAUGAUCGUUGGUUACCUAUCUUUUAUGUUGUCCUCGUAAAAGUUUUGUCCAAAAUAUUGUUCCCUCACCCUCCCUACUUUUACACCUAUGGUAGGGGCCUGGCAUAAGCAAAGAAGACUUGUGUAUUGGAUCUCCAAGGGUGUAUAUAUAUAUAUAUAUAUAUACACACACACAGUAUAAAUAAGUUUAACAAUAUAACACUUGGAUGGGAAAAUAUUAUAGAAAUGCUAUAUGAUUCAUAGUCUAUAUUAGGAACACUUUUUGGCAUCUGCGAAGUUACUUCAAAACUAUGCUGAAUGCAAAGCAGUAGAUGUUAACUUAAAUACACUUGUGAGAAGAAAUUUAUGCUUGGUUUAUUUAUAUAACUAGCAAAGCUUAUGUAAGAUAUAAAAUUUUUUUAUUUAUUUUUUCUUUUUUGUAUUUUUUGUAAGAUAUAAUUAAUUUUUUUUUUAUGUAAGAUGUCAACUAAAAACUCAUAUGGUGUUCUCUUCACAAGUUAUUAAUUAAAACUUUGACCCUGUAAAGACUUAUGGAUUAUGUGUGGUAAUAAGGUUUAACAUUAACAUUUGUAUUGUGAUGAGAUAUCUUUUUGUACAUUUCAAUUAAUGACUCAAGAUGAAAUACUAACAGUAUUCAAUACCUAUUAGUUUAGUGUAGUGUGCUUCACUUUAAUCACAGGUGCUCGCUUAUACCAUCUAGACUUGAGGAAAAAGAUCAAGUGAAAAACUCAAAGCCGCAAGAUGCUUGUGGCGCCAUGGAAUAAAGAAGUUGUUCCCGACUGAGAAAUCAAUCCAUGUAAACAAUCGCAAGUGAUAUGGGGAUAUUACAAAUUUCUGAAAUUAUUUGAUGUUAGCUUGACAUGAUCAAACUAGUUUUGUAUCUAGCUUUUAGAAUUUGGAAUUUUGUAAAUACUUUGGUUUCGAGGACAAGUUAUAAAUAAACCAUUGUAUCAAAUAGAAAUAACUAUGUUUUA